GACGAACGCUGGCGGCGUGCUUAACACAUGCAAGUCGAACGGAAAGGCCCUGCUUUUGUGGGGUGCUCGAGUGGCGAACGGGUGAGUAACACGUGAGUAACCUGCCCUUGACUUUGGGAUAACUUCAGGAAACUGGGGCUAAUACCGGAUAGGAGCUCAUGCUGCAUGGUGGGGGUUGGAAAGUUUCGGCGGUUGGGGAUGGACUCGCGGCUUAUCAGCUUGUUGGUGGGGUAGUGGCUUACCAAGGCUUUGACGGGUAGCCGGCCUGAGAGGGUGACCGGCCACAUUGGGACUGAGAUACGGACCAGACUCCUACGGGAGGCAGCAGUGGGGAAUAUUGCACAAUGGGCGGAAGCCUGAUGCAGCAACGCCGCGUGCGGGAUGACGGCCUUCGGGUUGUAAACCGCUUUCGCCUGUGACGAAGCGUGAGUGACGGUAAUGGGUAAAGAAGCACCGGCUAACUACGUG
rnacentral:rRNA from 1 species